rnacentral:rRNA from 1 species
AGAGGGUGCGAGCGUUGUUCGGAAUUAUUGGGCGUAAAGCGCUUGUAGGCGGCCUGUCAAGUCACGUGUGAAAUCCCCUGGCUUAACCAGGGAAGUGCGCGCGAAACUGAAGGGCUUGAGUGCCGGAGAGGGUCGCGGAAUUCCCGGUGUAGAGGUGAAAUUCGUAGAUAUCGGGAGGAACACCAGUGGCGAAGGCGGCGACCUGGACGGACACUGACGCUGAGACGCGAAAGCGUGGGGAGCAAACAGGAUUAGAUACCCUGGUAGUCCACGCUGUAAACGAUGGGUGCUAGUUGUGGCGGGUUUUGACCCCUGCCGUGACGCAGCUAACGCAAUAAGCACCCCGCCUGGGAAGUACGGCCGCAAGGCUA